GACCGCUCCGGUGGCUUAGUUGUUAAGAGCGUCCGCCUCGGAUGCGGGAGGUCGUGGGUUCAAUCCCCGGUUGAGUCG